UGCAAGUCGAACGGCAGCACGGGGGCAACCCUGGUGGCGAGUGGCGAACGGGUGAGUAACAUAUCGGAACAUAUUCGGAAGUGGGGGAUAGCUCGGCGAAAGCCGGAUUAAUACCGCAUAUGCCCUGAGGGGGAAAGGGGGGGAUCGCAAGACCUCUCGCUUUCGGAGUGGCCGAUAUCAGAUUAGCUAGUUGGUGGGGUAAAGGCUCACCAAGGCGACGAUCUGUAGCUGGUCUGAGAGGACGACCAGCCACACUGGAACUGAGACACGGUCCAGACUCCUACGGGAGGCAGCAGUGGGGAAUUUUGGACAAUGGGCGCAAGCCUGAUCCAGCCAUACCGCGUGAGUGAAGAAGGCCUUCGGGUUGUAAAGCUCUUUCAGCCGGAAAGAAAACGCAUCCCCUAAUACGGGGUGUGGAUGACGGUACCGGAAGAAGAAGCACCGGCUAACUACGUGCCAGCAGCCGCGGUAAUACGUAGGGUGCGAGCGUUAAUCGGAAUUACUGGGCGUAAAGCGUGCGCAGGCGGCUUUUUAAGCCAGAUGUGAAAUCCCCGGGCUUAACCUGGGAACUGCAUUUGGAACUGGAAGGCUAGAGUGUAGCAGAGGGGGGUAGAAUUCCACGUGUAGCAGUGAAAUGCGUAGAGAUGUGGAGGA
rnacentral:rRNA from 1 species